GGCCGCUGGUGCCACCUGGUGCCAACCAGGGACGGGCAUGGACGCCUCGGGAGACCGCGGGAUGGCGGAGGGCGCGUCACCGAGCAGCCAAGGAGCGUCCUAAUGAAAAUAAAUGCACUAAAACAGCCGGUAGGAAAGACAUCGCUGUCCAGAAGUCCGGGCCCUCGGUGUUAAUUUCCUUUUUUUUCGGCAGUAGCAGCUGCUUCUUCCAGACCAGAGCUAUGAAAAACGCUUAAGAGUUAAACAUUUUCCUAAUAUGAAGUCAGGAUGAGACGUGGGCAUACAAGCCUCAAAACAAGGAAAAUCUCCAGAUGCGAUCAAUUGCAUUUCUGCUACGUAUGUGUAUUUUUGCUAGGUGCAUCAAGCAGCACCCUGGGAGCACACAGGUGGGCUGUAAAUGUUCCAGCCUUUACAGCUAUUCCAGUAUGUGCACAUAUGCCAUAGAAACUGCGCAGUGCCCCUUGUCUUGGUCACUCUCUGACCAUCUGGAGCAUCCCUGACACAGUGAGGUUAACACAGAAAAGUCUUGGGAGCAAUGGACUUUUAGUCACAAGCAAGAAGAUAUCAAAUUAGCUACAACAGAAAAAUUAGCUGGACCAUCAGUUUAAACUUGAUGUACCAAAUUAUUGUGGCUGCUGCGCUUGCCAUUUACUUUAGCAGCUAUGAAGAAUGAGCAACAUGAACUGGAUUUGGCUUCAAAGAAGAAACUGAUGCUGGGCAUUCUCCUGUCAGCAAUUACAGAAGAUUCAUUAGUAGAUGCUGACAUGGAAAGUGAUUUUUGUUAUGAAGUGUGCUGAGAUGCAGCUGUAGGAAGUGGGUUUCAUUAAGAUAAAUGGAAGUAGUGGAUGUUGGAUGGGCUUUGAGCAAAAUAGAUUUUUGUCAUUUAUUGAACUAA